rnacentral:rRNA from 1 species
AAAGGCGCUUUCGGGUGUCGCUGAUGGAUGGACCCGCGGUGCAUUAGCUAGUUGGUGAGGUAACGGCUCACCAAGGCCACGAUGCAUAGCCGACCUGAGAGGGUGAUCGGCCACAUUGGGACUGAGACACGGCCCAAACUCCUACGGGAGGCAGCAGUAGGGAAUCUUCGGCAAUGGACGAAAGUCUGACCGAGCAACGCCGCGUGAGUGAAGAAGGUUUUCGGAUCGUAAAACUCUGUUGUUAGAGAAGAACAAGGAUGAGAGUAACUGUUCAUCCCUUGACGGUAUCUAACCAGAAAGCCACGGCUAACUACGUGCCAGCAGCCGCGGUAAUACGUAGGUGGCAAGCGUUGUCCGGAUUUAUUGGGCGUAAAGCGAGCGCAGGCGGUUUCUUAAGUCUGAUGUGAAAGCCCCCGGCUCAACCGGGGAGGGUCAUUGGAAACUGGGAGACUUGAGUGCAGAAGAGGAGAGUGGAAUUCCAUGUGUAGCGGUGAAAUGCGUAGAUAUAUGGAGGAACACCAGUGGCGAAGGCGGCUCUCUGGUCUGUAACUGACGCUGAGGCUCGAAAGCGUGGGGAGCAAACAGGAUUAGAUACCCUGGUAGUCCACGCCGUAAACGAUGAGUGCUAAGUGUUGGAGGGUUUCCGCCCUUCAGUGCUGCAGCUAACGCAUUAAGCACUCCGCCUGGGGAGUACGACCGCAAGGUUGAAACUCAAAGGAAUUGACGGGGGCCCGCACAAGCGGUGGAGCAUGUGGUUUAAUUCGAAGCAACGCGAAGAACCUUACCAGGUCUUGACAUCCUUUGACCACUCUAGAGAUAGAGCUUCCCCUUCGGGGGCAAAGUGACAGGUGGUGCAUGGUUGUCGUCAGCUCGUGUCGUGAGAUGUUGGGUUAAGUCCCGCAACGAGCGCAACCCUUAUUGUUAGUUGCCAUCAUUCAGUUGGGCACUCUAGCAAGACUGCCGGUGACAAACCGGAGGAAGGUGGGGAUGACGUCAAAUCAUCAUGCCCCUUAUGACCUGGGCUACACACGUGCUACAAUGGGAAGUACAACGAGUUGCGAAGUCGCGAGGCUAAGCUAAUCUCUUAAAGCUUCUCUCAGUUCGGAUUGCAGGCUGCAACUCGCCUGCAUGAAGCCGGAAUCGCUAGUAAUCGCGGAUCAGCACGCCGCGGUGAAUACGUUCCCGGGCCUUGUACACACCGCCCGUCACACCACGAGAGUUUGUAACACCCGAAGUCGGUGAGGUAACCUUUUGGAGCCAGUCGCCUAAGGUGGGAUAGAUGAUUGGGGUGAAGUCGUAACAAGGUAGCCGUAUCGGAAGGUGCGGCUGGAUCACCUCCUUUCUAAGGAA